UACGGGGGGAGCAAGCGUUGUUCGGAUUUACUGGGCGUAAAGGGCGCGUAGGCGGCGCAACAAGUCACUUGUGAAAUCUCCGGGCUUAACUCGGAGCGGCCAAGUGAUACUGUCGUGCUAGAGUGCGGAAGGGGCUACUGGAAUUCUCGGUGUAGCGGUGAAAUGCGUAGAUAUCGAGAGGAACACCUGCGGCGAAGGCGGGUAGCUGGGCCGACACCGACGCUGAGGCGCGAAAGCUAGGGGAGCGAACGGG
rnacentral:rRNA from 1 species